CACACGUUGGCUUAGUGGUUAGCACGCACCUCCGGGGUCCCGGGUUCAAUUCCCGGGGCCAUGUGUGU